rnacentral:sRNA from 1 species
AACCAAAGUCCGUUGCGAUCCACAGCCG